UGAGAAAACUUAAAAAAAAAAAUUCUAGAGGCCACUAGCUGGCCAAUGAACUCACAAGUAUCAGUAGUGUGCUACAUAAAGGGCAGGUCUUUCCCUAACACCAUGAGGAUCUCUGGCCCAAUAAGUGGAGUUUGGUAGUAAUUCCUGCUACAAGU